rnacentral:rRNA from 1 species
GACGAACCGUGCAAACGUUGUUCGGAAUCACUGGGCAUAAAGGGCGCGUAGGCGGCCCCGACCAGUCUGCGGUGAAAGCCCCCCGGCUCAACCGGGGAGGGUGGCUGGAAACUGUCGUUCUUGAGGGCGAGAGAGGAGGGUGGAAUUCCUGGUGUAGCGGUGAAAUGCGUAGAGAUCAGGAGGAACACCCGUGGCGAAGGCGGCCCCUCUGGCUCGACCCCUGACGCUGAGGCGCG